UACAGAGGGUGCAAGCGUUGUUCGGAAUUAUUGGGCGUAAAGCGCACGUAGGCGGCCCAGCAAGUCGGAAGUGAAAUCCCACGGCUCAACCAUGGAAGUGCUUUCGAAACUGCUAGGCUUGAGUACAAAAGAGGAUCGCGGAAUUCCCGGUGUAGAGGUGAAAUUCGUAGAUAUCGGGAGGAACACCAGUGGCGAAGGCAGCUCGCUGGGACGGUACUGACGCUGAGACGCGAAAGCGUGGGAGCAACAGG
rnacentral:rRNA from 1 species